rnacentral:sRNA from 1 species
GCCAGGUGCUGGGGUGCGCUCCUGUAAUCCUAGGUCCUUGUUAGGCUGAGGCAGGAGGAUCACAAGUUCAAAGCCAGCCUGGGCAACUUAGUGAGACCCUGUCUCAA